rnacentral:rRNA from 1 species
CUCCUACGGGAGGCAGCAGUGGGGAAUAUUGGGCAAUGGGCGCAAGCCUGACCCAGCAACGCCGCGUGAAGGAAGACGGCUUUCGGGUUGUAAACUUCCUUUAAGAGGGAAGAGAAGAAGACGGUACCUCUUGAAUAAGCCACGGCUAACUACGUGCCAGCAGCCGCGGUAAUACGUAGGCGGCCAGCGUUGUCCGGAUUUACUGGGUGUAAAGGGCGUGCAGCCGGGAGAGCAAGUC